rnacentral:tRNA from 1 species
GGAUUGUGGCUCAGUGGUAGAGCACUCGCAUAGCACGUGUGGGCCCCAGGUUCGAUUCUCAGCACCA